UGCAUUACUUAUGUUGCAAUGAAUUUGGCAACACUUCACUAGCAAGCUACUGUUUAUAAGAAGGGAUCCCAGCAGCUAAAAGAAGCCAGUCAUUUGGAUUACUCAUUACUUGCCUUGUAACCUGCUCCAGGCAAUUACUUGAAGAAUGAUGUUAAAAUUAGCUUAGAAAACUAGUAAUUUGAGGACUUCGACUGACAUAUAUCAAGUGCUCCCAGAUAAACAUUGGUCACAUUGGCGGGCUUGGAAGGAUAUUAUUUUUGUUGUUAAUGAGUGAAGAUUUUCCUCUUUUGUGCCAGAAGACAAGAGGAUUAAAAAGACUGUUUUCCUCUCUGCAAGAAGAAAUCUGACAGACUGGGAAUUCAGUCACCAACACAUCAUGAAUGCUUCCCGGAGGUAAGAUGCACAUACUGCAUUCUCCUCAGGAUACAUUCUCUCCGUGCUCACAGACAGAAAAACAAUGGGAACAAAAGUGAGAACUGGCACAGCACUUCUGGGCUUAAGCACCAGAAUGGAGAUGAUCUUUGUACAGUCCAUAUGCUUUACACAGUGAUUGGCAUGAUCCUUCUAAUGGCAAUCUGGGGAGCCUGGUCAAGAAAGGAUUUCUCCUCAUAGCAGCAAUAUACUUCAAGUAAUAUUUAUGUUAAUUAUCCAUUCCCAGGAGGUACAGGAAAAUGUCUCAGCAUCUUAGAGCUUACUUCAAACUGUUUAAAUUGUUGCAACUUGUGGAACUGAAUCUGUGAAGCAAUUUAAUAGGCAAUGUACCUGAACAUGACUUUAUGAAUAAUGUGUACCUGUUUGCAUUGUAAAUAUUUGUAUUAUCCAGUGCAUGUAUAUGAAAUUUACUUUAAGCUCAGUAUGGUAACAUGGAGAGUUCAAGUUGUGUUUUUAUCGGUCAGUGUUUUGUAUAUCCAUGCCAGCUUUCAGUUUUUCAACAUAAGUUGUCCAGUCCCUACUUCUGCCAAGACUACCUGUCCCAAUCUGUGGUAAAACACACACUAUAAGCAGGCAAAUAAGUUGCUGUGUCACAACAACAUAGGGAAAAAAUCAAUAAAACCAGCUAUCCUGCAGGCAAAGGAAGACCUCAGAACAAAUCAAAUUCUCAUAUUUGUUGCUAAAAGAGUUUAUAUAGGACUUGCAUCUCCAUAUUUUUCACUUACAGUAAUGCUUUUGUAAACUUGGGAUUAAAACCAUUAAAUAAACUGUAUUUAUAAGCAUC